rnacentral:rRNA from 1 species
AAUUGGAGGGCAAGUCUGGUGCCAGCAGCCGCGGUAAUUCCAGCUCCAAUAGCGUAUAUUAAAGUUGUUGCAGUUAAAAAGCUCGUAGUUGAAUUUCGGGGUUAGUAGGCUGGUCAUGCCUCUGGUAUGUACUGGUCUCACUGAUUCCUCCUUCCUGAUGAACCGUAAUGCCAUUAAUUUGGUGUUGCGGGGAAUUUGGACUGUUACUUUGAAAAAAUUAGAGUGUUUAAAGCAAGCUAACGCUUGAAUACAUUAGCAUGGAAUAAUGAAAUAGGACGUUCGAUCCUAUUUUGUUGGUUUCUAGGAUUGACGUAAUGAUUAAUAGGGAUAGUUGGGGGCAUUAGUAUGCAAUUGUCAGAGGUGAAAUUCUUGGAUUUAUUGAAGACUAACUACUGCGAAAGCAUUUGCCAAGGAUGUUUUCAUUAAUCAAGAACGAAAGUUAGGGGAUCGAAGACGAUCAGAUACCGUCGUAGUCUUAACCAUAAACUAUGCCGACUAGGGAUCGGAUGAUGUUAAUUUUUUAAUGACUCAUUCGGCGCCUUACGGGAAACCAAAGUGU